AUUGAACGCUGGCGGCAGGCCUAACACAUGCAAGUCGAGCGGAUGAAGGGAGCUUGCUCCUGGAUUCAGCGGCGGACGGGUGAGUAAUGCCUAGGAAUCUGCCUGGUAGUGUGGGAUAACGUCCGGAAACGGGCGCUAAUACCGCAUACGUCCUGAGGGAGAAAGUGGGGGAUCUUCGGACCUCACGCUAUCAGAUGAGCCUAGGUCGGAUUAGCUAGUUGGUGGGGUAAAGGCCUACCAAGGCGACGAUCCGUAACUGGUCUGAGAGGAUGAUCAGUCACACUGGAACUGAGACACGGUCCAGACUCCUACGGGAGGCAGCAGUGGGGAAUAUUGGACAAUGGGCGAAAGCCUGAUCCAGCCAUGCCGCGUGUGUGAAGAAGGUCUUCGGGUUGUAAAGCCCUUUUAGUUGGGAAGAAAGGCAGUAAGUUAAUACCUUGCUGUUUUGACGUUACCAACAGAAUAAGCACCGGCUAACUUCGUG
rnacentral:rRNA from 1 species